GAAAAAAAAGAAUGUCAUACAGGUCUGAAAGCACAAGAGGGGGCGAGUAAGUGAUGACAGAAUUUUCAUUUUCGGGUGAACUAUUUAACCCCAAAAACUGCAUCUCUUGCAUUAUAGUGGACCAGCAUGGUGAUAAAAAUAACAACAUUUAAUGUCAUUUAAAAAAUCACGUGUGGACGUACACAAUUUUUAUGACAUUGAGCACCUGCCUUAUACACAAAUGUAAUAUGAAUCUCUGUGUCUCUCCUGUAAUGUAGGUGUUGAAUUCCUGUCGACUCUGCAACUUUAUGUCUCAUCUCUCGAUGGUAAAGCAAACUCUAGGGGUGUGGAACACUGUGAAUCAAGAAUGUGGUUCACCGAGGCUGGGAAAUAUUGCACACGAGUGUUGCUCAACUUCAGAAUCGGUGUAACUCUCGGCCCCCACGUGCAGGGGACCGUUAAAGAACGCGACACGCACGUCUCCCAUAAAUCCUGUGAAAUUCAACCAAUCAGAUGAUGACUUCGAACGUGCUGAAGUGUUUCCAGAAAAGUGUGCCUUCUGCAUCAGACGUUCAGCCAACGGUCCGAGGCUGAGACUAUACAAGUCCGUUACAAAUCGACUUCUUGUGAGCUUUUAGUUUUAUCAAUUGGCAUAAAAUCUUGUCUGACAGGUCUGACGUUCCUAAACUCACCGUAAAACAACCAACCCGAACAGAAUAGUGUUACAGUAUGUAAGUGUAAUUGCUUACAGGUAGUUAGCAAUAAGCAAUCUUAUAAACUGUAAACACAAACCAAAUCUUUCUUCUAGCAUCUUCUGUUAUUGCAACAUCCGUCAGCUCUCUGGGAUCAUGUAAUCAAAUCUGUGAAGGGUUAAGAUGGUCUGGACCAGCAAACACUGUUAAGACAUGCAGCUCUUUCAUCAAAUACCUUCUGCAAACCCAGCACGUCUACAUUCAUCAGUGUCAGUGUUCAGAGUUUCUCAUGAUGAUAAAAUAACACCAGGUGCCCAAAACUGAUGAAAUAACGAGCAUUGACUUUUUCACUGACUGGAGGGCAGAUUUCAGUUAAAGAUUGAGAAAGUGCCUUUAGGUUGUAACCCUGAACAUUCCUUUCAAAAACCCCUACAAUUUCAGAAAAGCGUAAGAUUAUGAAGCAUGCAGGUGGUGGAGGUUCAGCAGUAACGCCUCGGGGGAAAGCCUGAACCAGAGGAUAUGACUGAACAGGUCGUUCGGUGAAACAGAAACAUUUAUGGGAACGUCAAACUGUCUAUGCGUCACAGUCAGGAAAUGCAGGGCAACAUUCUGACAGAGAUAAACCCUGCGUGUUUUAUUUUCUGCUACUGGUGCAAAGCACGAGCGACUGUUAUCAAGACCUGAUCAGUCCGGACAAACACUAGAAGAGACUUACGCAACUGCAACGUAAAAAAAAAUCUAUAUGUCAAUCAUUCAUGACGCUAGGAAAAUAUGACUGAAACAAAGUUACCUUGUAUUUUGUCUUCCUCAUAUACAGCAACAAGACAGUCACACAAGUUUUCUAAUGAUGAAAUAAUAUGGUCCAUUGUUCAUGUGAUGAAUUACACAUGUGGUAA